UACUAAGAAGUAUUGCUCCAGGAC
rnacentral:piRNA from 1 species